GGAGCAAAUGACAGUGCAUCCCGCAGGACCUGGAGCUCCCCUGCUUCACCAACGUUAAGAAGUGAAGCCGUUACCUUUUAAACUUGCGGCCACUGAAUGUUACCGCGAGGCGCAGGUGUAGCUGCGCGUGCGAAUAAUUUAAUCAUUGUCCAACGGCUAUCUAUCUACUCCGUAAUAAACCGAUUCUUAAACACUGACAUUCCGCAGUCUAAAUAUCCAGAUUAAUUUAGAGGUGGCAGUCUGCAGUGAGACAACCCAGCAUGGAAAGACCAAGACAAUGACAAUGUCCACCCUUAUGCCUUCAAUCGGGCCCAUCAGGUCCCCAGAUUCUCCGGAGGCGCUGGAGCCGCUGAAUAUGAUUGGUCCACCGAGUGCACUGGAGCCGCUGGAUGCGCUAGCUUCGCUGGAGCCGCUAAAUGCGAUUUGUGCGCUGGAACCGCUGAAUGUGAUUGGUAUGCCAGAGCCGCUGAAUGUGAUUGGUCCGCCGAGUGCACUGGAGCCGCUGGAUGCGCUAGCUUCGCUGGAGCCGCUGAAUGCGAUUGGUGUGCCGGAGCCGCUGAAUGUUAUUGGUGCGCUGAGUGCACUGGAGCCGCUGGAUGCGCUGGAGCCGCUGGAGGAAAAGGGCAUGGGAGGAAGCUGCUCAUCCUCUUCCUCCAGGGAGGCGGUGGAGGCUAAGUAACUGUCCACCAGGGGGGCCAGCGCAUCAAGCUCUAUCUGCAAGCAGAGACGCAGUGAAGUCACUCAUGGCUUUGCUCAGUUCACAUGCUGUGCUGCACAGCUCUUCCCUGUGGAGGCAUGGGGGUGACCAUUUUAACAUGUCAACGAGUUGCAUCAUUGGAGUUUACUACCAAUCAUAUGUUAGUGCAUCUGCCAUUGUUUACUGAGAUGGUUGUACUCCUGUGAAAGGCUGAAAUCCAUUGUGCUGUGAUAAUGUUAAAUAUAACCGCCGUGAAGCGCAGUGCAUGGUGUGAAAUGCUGCAGACUGUGAAGGUGAGACGCCUGACUGGAAGCAAGCAUUUGUUCUGUUCCCAUUGAUUUGUGCUUUGUUGUAUGGCUACCCUAAGCCAGUCUUGCCUUAUUGUGGGUGAGAUACUCUGAGGUGGGCUAUUUCCAGGCAGCUUUAGCCCUCUCAUUCUCAGACUGCAGGAAUAUUUUGAAGCGAGCUAAAAAAAGGUGCUGGUGCUGAAUAGCAGCGCUGUAUAGUAAAAACAAGUCCACGUUUGACUCACUGGAGAAGGACACACCUUCACAAAACUGCCAACACGGCAUCUGACUGCAUAGACCAUGAUCUCAGCCAGCUGGGCGGCUGCAGCCCCGCAGUUCUGUCUCUGACCACACGGGGACGCUGGGCACUCAUUCUGGGUCUCAGUAAGCAGCAGCAGCUGCCUGCUUUUUCUCUCCGAUGUUUGUAAAUCUUAUCCUCUCUGCCAGACAGCAGUGGUCCUUGUGGAACCAAGACA